rnacentral:rRNA from 1 species
GAUGAACGCUGGCGGCGUGCCUAAUACAUGCAAGUCGAGCGAUGCGGGGGCGGGUGCGGAACACGUGGAUAACCUCCUUUACGACUGGGUUAAAUUCGGGUAACAGGAGGUAAACCGGAUAUUUAUAGAUGGAUCCGCGCUGCAUUCGCUAGUUGGUAAGGUAACGGCUUACAAAGGCAACGAUGCAUAGCCGACCUGAGAGGGUGAUCGGCCACACUGGAACGGAGACAAGGGCCAGACUCCUACGGGAGGCAGCAGUAGGGAAUCUUCGGCAGUGGGCGAAAGCCUGACGGAGCAACGCCGCGUGAGUGAUGAAGGUCUUCGGAUCGUAAAACUCUGUUAUUAGGGAAGCGGUACCUAAUCAGAAAGCCACGGCGAACUACGUGCCAGCAGCCGCGGUAAUUC